UACGGGGGGGGCAAGCGUUGUUCGGAAUUACUGGGCGUAAAGGGCUCGUAGGCGGCCAACUAAGGCAGACGUGAAAUCCCCAGGCUCAACCUGGGAACUGCGUCUGAUACUGGAUGGCUUGAAUUCGGGAGAGGGAUGCAGAAUUCCAGGUGUAGCGGUGAAAUGCGUAGAUAUCUGGAGGAAUACCGGUGGCGAAGGCGGCAUCCUGGACCGACAUUGACGCUGAUGAGCGAAAGCCAGGGGAGCAAACGGG
rnacentral:rRNA from 1 species